UCUGUACCUGGGUGCAGGGGUAGGAUCUGGGGUCCUUGUGCUGCUGUUACUGCUGAUAGGAGGAGUGCUGAAGUGUCUGCAGUCCAAACGAGACCCUGCUGUCCAGACUGAACCUGUAUACGCCACGGUGAAUCAGCCCAAGCAGCCUUCAAAGCAACAGGACGACACACUCACCUACUCAAAAAUAAACACUGCCCGUGUCACCAAGAAGAAAUCCAGAUCUGCACAUAAUGAAGACAAUGUAACAUACGCAACAGUUAAAACUUCCACAUACUGAAAACCACUAGGAAAAAUGAAUGUUGUUUUGAAAAAUACCUGAAUAUUCAAUAAAUUGGUCUUUCCCUUUUAUCCAAGUACUCUCUGCUUUCAUACCUACCAGAAUGAUCAUACAGAGUCCGAUCAGUGAGAGACACUGGGUGGGAUUUUCAAAGACCAGUGUUAUUGUAUUGAACUCGCGGUAUAGUAAUGACAGCUUUAGU